ensembl:ncRNA asRNA:CR45648 antisense RNA:CR45648
CGAUUACCAACCAUAUUUGCUGUCGAUGGAGGGCAGAUCAAAAUACUUGUAGACGUUGCCGUCCUGGGUGAAUGACUCCUGGAACUGGGCAAAGGGAUUGGCGCCUGCAAGGAAGACAGGAUUAGCGUACAGAUCAAAUACUCCUUUUUCCAAUUAAAUCCCACCGGAGCCGGACAUUGUGGAAAAAUUAAACAGAAAACCAAGCAAUGUGAUAUAGAGAUGAGCGCGUGAGGAACCGCUACCAGGCAAAACUUGCUCAUCACUAACGCAAACAUUAUAUUAUCGAUAACUGAACAUGAAAACAAACCGGUACACAGUAAAAAAUAUUUAU